GGAUUAGAUACCCUGGUAGUCCACGCUGUAAACGAUGAAUACUAGCUGUUAGGACAUUGAGUCUUAGUAGCGUAGCUAACGCGAUAAGUAUUCCGCCUGGGGAGUACGGCCGCAAGGUUAAAACUCAAAGGAAUUGACGGGGGCCCGCACAAGCGGUGGAGCAUGUGGUUUAAUUCGAUGCAACGCGAAGAACCUUACCUACCCUUGACAUACUCGGAACUUUACAGAGAUGGAUUGGUGCCUUCGGGAACCGAGAUACAGGUGCUGCAUGGCUGUCGUCAGCUCGUGCCG
rnacentral:rRNA from 1 species